UUUGAUGGCGACCGGCGCACGGGUGAGUAACACGUAUCCAACCUGCCGAUGACUCGGGGAUAGCCUUUCGAAAGAAAGAUUAAUACCCGAUGGCAUAGUUCUUCCGCAUGGUGGAACUAUUAAAGAAUUUCGGUCAUCGAUGGGGAUGCGUUCCAUUAGGUUGUUGGCGGGGUAACGGCCCACCAAGCCUUCGAUGGAUAGGGGUUCUGAGAGGAAGGUCCCCCACAUUGGAACUGAGACACGGCCCAGACUCCUACGGGAGGCAGCAUG
rnacentral:rRNA from 1 species